GCCACCUACCCGUAGGGAACUAUGACCCUCUAGGGGGCAUGGAACUCGCGGGGAGGGAGUGGCCUCGCCCUUGAGGACGAAAGGCUCCUUCAAAAGGCGGGCGAGGGGCCGGGCGCGGUGGCUCACACCUGUCAUCCCAGCACUUUCGGAGGCCGAGGUGAGAGAGGUGAGAGGAUCUUGAGUUAGAGACCAGCCUGGACAACAUAGCGAGACCUCGUCUCUAUCAAAAAAAAAAAAAAAAAAAAAAAAAAAGCGGGCGUAGUGGCGCUCGCCUGUGGUCCCAGGGAGGCUGAGGUGAGAGGAUCGCUUGAGCCCAGGAGGUAGAGGCUGCCGUCGCGCCACUGCACUCCACUCUGGGAGACGAAGCGAGACCCUGCCUCAAUAAACCAGAAACCAAAAAACAACAAAAAAGGCGAGUUGGGGAGUAAUGACCUUCUCAGGAGGGCUAGAGAGAACAAGAGACCCUUUCGGGGAAGAUGGGGUCCGCGAAGAGAGAGUGACCUCCCAUUUGGGACAGAGUUCAAGUGAGGGGUAACGAGCGACCUCCCUUAGGGGUCCUGAUAGGUGCCAGAGACUUCCGUAGAGGACCCCGGGGCUAUACGGAGCAGCCAUCACUCACGAGUGCGGGCUCCUAAACUUGGGCAGCUGUGGUUGGGGGAGCUGGGGCCGCGCUGUCCUCAGCCUCUUGGGGAACAGCUUAAAUAUCAGGUGUCCUGUGAGCCCUGAGUGAGAGCCACACGCCCUGUAAAAUGCCCCUCCUGGAUUUGAAGCCUGGUCACAUUCUCACUCCAAUUCAAAUACUUCCUUAGUUGCCGCCCGGGGGAGAUGAUUCUGUGGUCAUCCUUUCCACUGAGAAAAUGCAAUCACAACUUUAGGAGAGAAAAUAGUGAAAGUGGGGGAAACAGCCACCGUUCUACCCCAUGAAUACAAUUUUCUGCAUGUAUAUUUGUUCAUUCCCUUCAGAUACGUUUUUUCUUUUUCUUUUCUUUUUUUUUUUUUUUUGAGACGGAAUUUCACUCUUGUCCAGUCUGGAGUGCGGUGGCGCGAUCUCGGCUCACUGUAACCUCCGCCUCCCAAGUUCAAGCAAUUUUCCUGCCUCAGCCUCUUGAGUAGCUGGGAUUACAAGUGCCCGCCACCACGCCCAGCUAAUUUUUGUAUUUUUAGUAGAGACAGGUUUUCACCAUGUUGGCCAGGCUGAUCUCCAGCUCCUGACCUCCCAUGAUCCACCCGCCUCGGGCUCCCAACGUGUUGGGAUUACAGGUGUGAGCCACUGCGCCUGGCCCAGAUGUGUUUUCAUAGGUGAAUGUUAUAUUUAGUUUCCCAGAAAAUAUUCAUAAGCACAUCCUUUAUGCCAAGUACUGUCCAGUGAACAGGACAAGCAAAAUAUCCUGCCUUCAUGCAGCAUAAAUUCCAGCAGAUGACUGGAACUGAUUUGACAUAACCAUCGUAUGCAUGGAGGAGCUGAGAACAGUAAUCUGCAGAAGCAAAAGUAUGAAACAGCUGGGCAAAGAUGCACAGAGUGUCUUGCUCUGUCGUCCAGGCUGGAGUGCAGUGGCGCGAUCUCGGCUCACUGCAACCUCUGCCUCCCGGGUUCAAGCGAUUCCUCUGCCUCAGCCUCCCUAGUA